GGGCAAUGACACAGUGACCGUCCAGAGUUCGUGCCGCUGGGAGGACCACCGGGUGUCUAAUGUGUCCUGCUCUGUGUAUCAUCUGACUGGCAACAGGAGUCUAUCCAUUGAGAGGAAUUCUGGAGACCAGUUACCACAAAAAUUUGUUGUAUGUAUCACCUUCUUUAUUUUGAUUACUUUGGUCAUUGUGGGAUCCAUUUGCCUUUUGAAAAUCGAUGUCUGCAGCGUAUUUUUAUAUUUUGCAGAAAAUACUAAUUAAACAGAAAUUACUUCAGUUGUUGAGGAGGAUGAAAUGCAAUCCUAUGCCAGCUACACAGAGAAGAGCAAUCUAUGACACUGUGAGCAGAGUGAGGAGGUCUCAGGUGUUACAAAACGAAGUUGAUGGGCU